rnacentral:rRNA from 1 species
GCUUACGCCAUACCACCCUGAACAUGCCGAUCUCGUCCGAUCUCGGAAGCUAAGCAGGUCGGGCCUGGUUAGUACUUGGAUGGAGACCGCCUGGGAAUACCAGGUGCUGUAAGCU